rnacentral:rRNA from 1 species
GAUGAACGCUGGCGGCGUGCCUAACACAUGCAAGUCGAGCGAUCUUCUUCGGAAGAGAGCGGCGGACGGGUGAGUAACGCGUGGGUAACCUGCCCUGUACACACGGAUAACAUACCGAAAGGUAUGCUAAUACGAGAUAAUAUGCUUUUAUCGCAUGGUAGAAGUAUCAAAGCUUUUGCGGUACAGGAUGGACCCGCGUCUGAUUAGCUAGUUGGUGAGGUAACGGCUCACCAAGGCGACGAUCAGUAGCCGACCUGAGAGGGUGAUCGGCCACAUUGGAACUGAGACACGGUCCAAACUCCUACGGGAGGCAGCAGUGGGGAAUAUUGCACAAUGGGCGAAAGCCUGAUGCAGCAACGCCGCGUGAGCGAUGAAGGCCUUCGGUCGUAAGACUCUGUCCUCAAGGAAGAUAAUGACGGUACUUGUAGGAGGAAGACCCGGCGUAACUACGUGCCAGCAGCCGCGGUAAGUCUCGUCUCUA